AGAGUUUGAUCCUGGCUCAGGAUGAACGCUAGCGGCAGGCUUAACACAUGCAAGUCGAGGGGCAGCAUAAUGGAUAGCAAUAUCUAUGGUGGCGACCGGCGCACGGGUGCGUAACGCGUAUGCAACCUACCUUUAACAGGGGGAUAACACUGAGAAAUUGGUACUAAUACCCCAUAAUAUCAUAGAAGGCAUCUUUUAUGGUUGAAAAUUCCGAUGGUUAGAGAUGGGCAUGCGUUGUAUUAGCUAGUUGGUGGGGUAACGGCUCACCAAGGCGACGAUACAUAGGGGGACUGAGAGGUUAACCCCCCACACUGGUACUGAGACACGGACCAGACUCCUACGGGAGGCAGCAGUGAGGAAUAUUGGUCAAUGGACGCAAGUCUGAACCAGCCAUGCCGCGUGCAGGAUGACGGCUCUAUGAGUUGUAAACUGCUUUUGUACGAGGGUAAACUCACCUACGUGUAGGUGACUGAAAGUAUCGUACGAAUAAGGAUCGGCUAACUCCGUGCCAGCAGCCGCGGUAAUACGGAGGAUUCAAGCGUUAUCCGGAUUUAUUGGGUUUAAAGGGUGCGUAGGCGGUUUGAUAAGUUAGAGGUGAAAUUUCGGGGCUCAACCCUGAACGUGCCUCUAAUACUGUUGAGCUAGAGAGUAGUUGCGGUAGGCGGAAUGUAUGGUGUAGCGGUGAAAUGCUUAGAGAUCAUACAGAACACCGAUUGCGAAGGCAGCUUACCAAACUAUAUCUGACGUUGAGGCACGAAAGCGUGGGGAGCAAACAGGAUUAGAUACCCUGGUAGUCCACGCAGUAAACGAUGAUAACUCGUUGUCGGCGAUACACAGUCGGUGACUAAGCGAAAGCGAUAAGUUAUCCACCUGGGGAGUACGUUCGCAAGAAUGAAACUCAAAGGAAUUGACGGGGGCCCGCACAAGCGGAGGAACAUGUG
rnacentral:rRNA from 1 species